rnacentral:rRNA from 1 species
AGCAGCCGCGGUAAUUCCAGCUCCAAUAGCGUAUAUUAAAGUUGUUGCAGUUAAAAAGCUCGUAGUUGAACUUCGGGGUUCACCCAUUGGUCAGGCUUAAUUGUCUGCACUGGUGAGAUGAGUCUCUACCUUCUGAGGAACUUUCAUGCCAUUUAUUUGGUGUGGUUGGAAAUCAGGACUGUUACUUUGAAAAAAUUAGAGUGUUUAAAGCAGGCUAACGUCUGAAUACAUUAGCAUGGAAUAAUGAAAUAGGACGGACUGAUUCUAUUUCGUUGGUUUCUAGGAUCACCGUAAUGAUUAAUAGGGAUAGUUGGGGGCAUUAGUAUUCAAUUGUCAGAGGUGAAAUUCUUGGAUUUAUUGAAGACUAACUACUGCGAAAGCAUUUGCCAAGGAUGUUUUCAUUAAUCAAGAACGAAAGUUAGGGGAUCGAAGACGAUCAGAUACCGUCGUAGUCUUAACCAUAAACUAUGCCGACUAGGGAUCGGACGAAGUUAAUUUUAUAAUGACGCGUUCGGCACCUUACG